AUACUUACAAAUCCCCAAAAGAUCUCUUCCUUUCGUGUGAAAAUUUUACUCUAUUUUCAGAAAAUUUUAUAUCUUCUUCUCUUUUCUCACGCCUCCUAUCCCCACCCGAUCGUCAUCCUUUCACUUUAGAGCAAAAAUACAAAAACUCUUGGACCUUUUCAGACCAUCCCUCACCAUUUUUAUGCAGAAUACGGCCACUAUACGACUGCCAGCGUAAGAAGAGUCAUAUUAACGUUCAAAAUUUUAAAAUUCAAACUAACCGUCCUAAUUUGAAAUUGGAGAAUCCCCACAAUAUAAGGGGGUUCCAUAAGCAAAAGUGACCAGGCUAGUUUUAACCCAAAAAUGAGUCAAGGGGACGAAAAUAAGAGGAUCCGCAUCUUGGGCAUGGUAGAUAUCUCUCUGUCCGAGCAAAUACAGAUGGUGAAAUUCUGGUUGAAGCUUGUGCUCCUCUUACGGUCAUCGAUGGCGAAAGUCUGAUUGAAGCUAUAGUUGUGGACAACCAUGUCUUUCGCACUCGAACAUCACGAGAGGGGCAUAAGUUCCACUCUCAGAAUACGUUAUGCACUUUCCGAGCCAGGAAUCAGCUACAUACUUCUUACUCUCUUAUUUGCAUUGUAAGUAUUUAUGUGAAAUAGUCAGAAACCAAAAACACUCUCAUUAUUUUUCUUUUACCUCCACUCCUGUAGGUGCACUGUUCUGCUAUAAUCUAGCUUAAUUUUGAACAACUGUCAUUCUUUUUAUGUUUAAUUUUGAAUUUUUAAUAAUCUAGCUUAAGAUCUCAC
rnacentral:lncRNA from 1 species